rnacentral:rRNA from 1 species
GAUGAACGCUGGCGGCAUGCCUAACACAUGCAAGUCGAUCGGUAAGGCUCUUCGGAGUCCCCGAGAGGCGGACGGCUGAGUAACGCGUAGGAACACACCCUGCAGUGAGGGAUAAGACACCGAAAGGUGUUCUAAUACCGCAUACGGUCUUCGGAUUAAAGCAUUUAUGCGCUGAAGGAGUGGCCUGCGUCAUAUUAGAUAGUUGGUGAGGUAAUGGCUCACCAAGUCGAUGAUGUGUAGCUGGUCUGAGAGGAUGAUCAGCCAGACUGGAACUGAGACACGGUCCAGACUCCUACGGGAGGCAGCAGUGAGGAAUAUUGCACAAUGAGCGAAAGCUUGAUGGAGCAAUGCCGCGUGCAGGAUGAAGGCCCUCGGGUUGUAAACUGCUUUUAUAAGAGAAGAUUAUGACGGUAACUUAUGAAUAAGAGACGGCUAACUACGUG